AACGCACAUUGCGCCCAUUGGUAUUCCUUUGGGCAUGUCUGUUUGAGCGUCAUUACAACCCUCAGCUAAUCGCUGGUUUUGAACCGGAACGGGUGUCCACCCGCACCGGUUUUAAAGUUGUAAGCUCUGCUGGCUGCUCUGCCAAACCAGAACAUAGUAAAAACUACUUGUUGGGGUGAAGCUAGGCGGUACGGCCUGUACAAAACCAUUUUUCAAGGUUUGACCUCAGAUCAGAUAAGGAUACCCGCUGAACUUAA
rnacentral:misc_RNA from 1 species